rnacentral:tRNA from 1 species
ACACUGGUGGUCUCGGGUAGAAUUCUCACCUUCCAUGCAGGAGACCUGGGUUCGAUUCCCAGUCAGUGUA